CGGUUAAAAUUAGAUGUGCACCAAGAUAGAAAUAGAGAGAGACACGGAGAGUAACAGAGAAAGAGAGAGGCGAUGAAAUCAAAAAGCUUCAACAAAACGAUUUUGCAGACCCAAAGCACUGUUUACCACAAAACAAAACCCAAUUCUCUUCUAAAAACUAAAAUUAAAACUUGUAACUACUCUCUCUUCUCAGAAACCCAAAAAUCAAAACCAUCUCCUUCCCCUAAAAUCAAAAUCCAGAACUUAGAUGAGAAAGAAGUAAGUGAUCAGAGGUGUCAUUCUCACGCAAUCUCUGAUUCCCUCACACAAUGGCCAUCGAUUCAUCAAACCAACUCAACCUCAACCCUACUACUACUACAGAAGAACACCCUAAACAAACCCUAGACGAUGACACUACUACUACUGUCACACCCACCAGAUCGCCUCAGAGAAGAAGAAAUCGAGGAAGAACCAACUGAUGAGGCUUUCGAUCAACCUUCUGUAACCACCAUCGAUUCCGAUGAGAAGUACGACGAGGAUUCAAAGAGCACUGUAGCCGAUGCUUGUAGCAGGGGAUGUUGUUGAUAUGGAUCCGGCUUCCAAUCGUUUCACUCCGUGUUUAUCAUGUACAAAUUUAGAAAAGUUACUGGGUUCUCUAAUAGGUGAAUUACCGUUGGGUUCUCUACAAUAAAAUGAAAGGUCAAAGCUGAUUGAUUGUGUUAUGUGGAAUCUACAACUGUAUAGGAACCUUGCUCUUCUAUAGUUUUAGAGUUAAGAUGAGGACAGGUUCCAUGUGUUUUUCCAUCUUGCAAGUUCCUAGAUGCAGAAUCCCCACCUUAGCUACUUCUUGGAGGGAAAGCUUCCAUAGUUUGAGUAGGACUGACAAUAGAAAAUGGACUCGAAUUCCUGUAUUUACAAAAAGUGAUACAUUUAGUGUAAAUAAGACAGAGAUUAGUCAAUUCCACAAUACUGAAUAUUGUGAAUCAUAAGAUUCACUUCCUAUAGAUUAUUGAAAUAAAACAAAAAAUAUAUAUGACUACCUUCGAAAGAAUAA